GGUGGAACCACCUCGAGUUGUUAUUAAUUCCUGUUCCCUUUUAGGAAGCGGGUACCGCGAAGCCGCAACGGAAGGAGAACUCGAAGAGGACCCUGAAGAGGGAAAGGGGACCGCAGGUCGAGCUGGGGCGAGAACGGUGGUAAAAGGGGUGCAUCCUGCCAAUUUCUUGGCAGGACGAGCACGGGGCACCGGGUUGAAAAUAACGAUCAGGAACCCUGGCGAGCUCACCUGCGAGGGGGCAUAUGUUUCAACAAGUAAUGGAGAAGUAAUCGCGAGGAUCUCGCGCCAGUUGGCGGGUUUGCGACUAAGGGGACGAAGGAUCAUUUUUAUUUUUUGCGGUGAGCUCUCAACGCCAUUUUCGAAUUCCUGGUUGAGAAGAAGUUAUCUUCCGGAGGAGCGAGGAUAAUUAUUAUUUAUUUUUCUCUUUUGCAGGGACUUUUCGAUGCCAUUUUGGAGUUCCAAAUAAUGGAGAAGUAAUCUCGCGCCAGUUGGCCGUUCGCUCGAGGGGGACGGUGGAUAAUUUCUUUUCCGCCGGAAUUUUCGAGUCCCAGGACACGAGAUGCCGAUCUGCCGAUUUGGUUUCUCGAAAUCCUGGCCCCGAGCGAGGUCCCCGAUUAACGUGGCUCCCCUUUCGACUUUCGAGGACCGCUUCUUCUGGGACUUCUUCGGGAAGUGGACACGUGCCUUGGGCGAGGUGCCAUUACCGUUCGUUCCGCUCCAGGACACGAAAACCGAAAGGACCUCCCGCCGCAUCCUCUUUUUGCCGACCCGGACAUUCGCGGAAAGGAGCAUCGCCUUUUCGUAGUCGUAAAGUGCGGUCACGCGCCGGGGCGCGCGUCUUCAGGGCCUGAGGCCUCUUCUGGGACUGUCCAAAUAACGACAAUUGGACUAAUAAUUUAUUUAACGAACCUGCGAAAUCACCAGACCCUCCUGUUCACCAUCGUUCCUUUUCGAGCGCUUCGUUGCGUGUCAAGACAUACAAUAUACAUUUCUCGUAUAUAAAAAAAAAAAUUAAAAUAUAUAGAUAGGGUUUAUAUAAAUUGAAAUUUUACACGUAUAAAGGGGUUGGCCGUCGAAGGGUUAAUUCCGGUGUCCGGACUGAACCGAUAGGACGAAUUCUUCUGUAUACCCACGAAUGUACAAACUCCACCGGAGAGGCCAUUUCCGCAGGUCACGCACCACGUGCUUCCACUUCCUAUCGGAAGUGGGCUCGAGGCAGCUGGCUCCGACUUUUUCCCCGCCUUUCUGCCCGAAUGCGAACAUUACCAUAGUCGGUUACACGAUUAACGCGAGACAUACCCCGGUUUCAUUUGACCCGGCUUAAUUUACUCCAAUUUCCCGGGAAUUUACCGCCCUCUCGUCCGCCUUCCUGGGUGAAAAAUCGGGAGGGAAUACCGCUUUAACGAACCCUGGGACGGCUUUUUUGUUCCCCCGACAUUGUCUCGAUUCCGGGUCGACCGAUAAUUCGGUCCAGGAAUAAUAUUCAUAAGCCUUCUUUCCAGCCUCUUGAUCGAUCGGGGCGUCCUCAUGUUACAACGCGAGCAAGACCCUGACAUCCAUGAAAUCUCUUUUUUUUUUUUUUAAUUGUUUAUAGACAUUUUUGAAAUUCUCUCUCUAACAUUGGGACCAAGACAUACGGAAGUAAUUAAUGGUUCAUGCAAAUAUUUUUUUCAGGGAGUAUCGAGCCUUUCUCAACAAAUGGUCCAGGGUUUUCUGCCCUCUGAAGAGGAACCCGAAGAGACCCCUGAAGAGGAACUCGAAGGGACCCACCGGAAACUGGGCCACCAGUGGGGGUGACUUUCCGCUGGAGCCGCCGAUCGUCCAAUCAACUCGCGAGUCGUUUAACGAGACGGCAACCCGGACCACGUGGAAUUUUAUACGAGCCUGGAAGAGGUACCUGAAGACGUGUUUCGAGGGUUACGCUAAAUUAGCCUCGUGGAAGAGGAGGAUGAAUUCUUCAGGGCGUUUUUUCAAUUCUUGCUCGCAGCGAAGGGGUGCUUUUCACCUGUACUCUACUUUCCCAUUGUAUGUUUCUUUAUUUCAAUUUUUAAAAGCAUAUGGAAUUUUAUACGAGCCUGGAAGAGGUACCCGAAGAGGGAGGCUUCGAGGGCGGCGCUAAAUUAGCUGCAUCGAAGAGAAUGAAUUCUUCAGGGUGUUUCCCUAGUCCUAUCCCGAGGCGAGGAGGCACCCUCCCACUUUUGAUUCCGGGUUUUCUUUCUCCAGCUUCUCUUACGGGUCUUAGCCCUCCGUCUUUUCCUCCCAUUGUUUCCCUGAAGAGAGUCGCUACUUCCGGGGGGUGUCUCGCCUCCGGCGACUCGCGGUAAAUUCCCAGGAAAAUUCGGAAAUCCGAGAACUCGGCUCUGAGUCCCAUUUUCAAACUCACUCGUGCUACUCUUCGGGCUUGGGGAGACUUCCCACGACCUCGGGAUUACUUUUUUUUUUCUUUCUUUCGUUUCCGGCUGCACCCUUCUAAAGCGGUUUUCUUCGCGCACCUUCCCUCGUUCUAGAGAUGCGUGCGAACCGAUCUUAUCAUUCACGCACACGCGUGGCCAAGGAACGCGCGAAACUAUCACAAUGCCAUUCCCGGGUCCCUUGGGAAUGGACACCACCUCCUCAGGGUACAAAAGGAGGAACAAUCCUCCUCGAUUCAUCCUGGCCGAUUCCCACGCGCUCUUCAAGGUGCUCCUUAGGGUCGCGACUCCAAAAUUUUGCUAAAUUUUCUGCGCAUUUUCUAGAUUUAAUUAAAAAAUUGAAAUUCCACUGUGUGGAAUUGUGGGGAUGAAAUACCGAUUUACAUCCAGUAUAAAAAAAAUAACUCCUGAACGAUCGACCUAUUAGGUGCCGCUGUCUUGUUGCUUUAAUUAAUUUAAAAUGCAUGCUCUGAUAGUAAAAGCGAGCCACGAGUCUCAUUACACAAUUGCAUCCGAAAGUGGUCGAAAUAUCGGAAAACUUUGUACCAAUGUACGUUCGCAUCCGGCGCGGAAAUCGAGGACGCGACUGGUAAUGGUAAAGAAUUAUUGCUUCCUCCCUCCCGACCUUACGCAACUCAUCCUGCCUGAAGAGAGGCUAUGAUAGUCGUUAUCGGCGCCUCUGCAAUCGCAAUGGCGAUAUAAUGCCGGGGAGAAAAAAAAUAGAAAUCAACCCGUGGAGCGUGUCAAUGCACUUUACUUUUGUCCCCAGACGUCGGCUCCGGAGGAGGCAGGACUUCGAGUUCGAGUUCGAGUUCGGGAUUCGUUCAGUCGAGACCUCAAUCGUCUCGCCCGAUCGAGGACUUAGCCGAGCAUAACCGGGGACGAAACGACUUCUCUUCGAGAACCAUUUCUUGGGGGACAAAGAGGCGACGAGGGAGCCGAGGUGCGAUAAGAACCAGGAGGAGGCACAGGGUCGUCAGGAUCGUCCACGUCUUCAUCUUCGCUGCUCCGAUCUCCCCCCACGUGGGUCCUCUUCCGAAGACUUCGAAGCCGUCAAGUACCUUCUUCAGGAACUCCGAAAUUCGGUAUCGAUCACUUCCCACGUGGGUUCUCUUCCGAAGACUUCCACGCCGGCAAGUACCCUCUUCGGGAACUCCUGGAUUUAUCGGAAAUCCGAAAUUCGGUAUCGAUCACUGCAGGUCGAUGGAGCCGCGGUGAAUGGCGAGAGGAGUUUCGAUUUUUCGGUGCACUUCUUCUGGGCCGAUUUCACGGAUUCUUUUUUAAGAUUUCUUUUUUUUUAUCGAUGGUCUCUGAUUUGAUGUUUAUUUCGGGAGUUUGAUGGUGGUUCUAUGGGAACGAGGAACGCGACGAUGGUGCACGGUUGCGCGCUGCGCGCGGAAUGAGCGCUUCCUGAUGAGGAUGCUGAAGCACGCGGCCUCACGCUCACGUGACUCCCCUCCACCUGGACCUACCCCCACGUUCUUGACACCUUCAACCCUCUCCUCUCACCUGGUCUACCGGAAGAUCCCUCUCUUUCCUUCUUACUCUUUUUUACGCAAAUAUUCAUAUAGUACACAAUGGUAAAAAUAUUAAUACCUUAAAAAAUAAUGCCACGGAUAUUUCUCCCAUAGAUUAUUAAUUUCUGUACCGAUUUUUAAUUAAAAAUCGGGAGGUACCUUUGGUCCAAUAUUUCUUUCCACGGCGCACAGUUUACCAAGUACAGUAAUUAAUCGACUCGUGAUUGUUUUUCGAAUAAUUAUCACCGCAUGCAUCAUAGAAAAAAAAAAUAGUUCAGGAUUUAUCGACUCCCCUUUUCAACGGGAAUUGUUACGUGUAAGCCGUGUCCAGGAAUUCUGUCACAUCCAGUGUACUUGAUAAUUGGUACUAAUAAUUACUAGAUACGACAAUAUACAUGUUUUGACAUAUAUUAUCGGUUUGUUUCUAUUUUAGCUGGUGGACGUUUCGAAGGUAGGGCUGUCACGCGGUUACAGGACUCGACGGUGCAGCGGUGCGCGCGAGUGCACUGGCGGUGCAUGGACAGGUGCACGGCCGCCACGUGACAGCCGGCCUUCUUACCGCAGAGCGGGUGUGCCUCUC